GAUGAACGCUGGCGGCGUGCCUAAUACAUGCAAGUAGAACGCUGAAGCUUGGUGCUUGCACCGAGCGGAUGAGUUGCGAACGGGUGAGUAACGCGUAGGUAACCUGCCUCUUAGCGGGGGAUAACUAUUGGAAACGAUAGCUAAUACCGCAUAAAAGUCGACAUCGCAUGAUGUUGACUUGAAAGGUGCAAUUGCUCCACUACAAGAUGGACCUGCGUUGUAUUAGCUAGUAGGUGAGGUAACGGCUCACCUAGGCGACGAUACAUAGCCGACCUGAGAGGGUGAUCGGCCACACUGGGACUGAGACACGGCCCAGACUCCUACGGGAGGCAGCAGUAGGGAAUCUUCGGCAAUGGGGGCAACCCUGACCGAGCAACGCCGCGUGAGUGAAGAAGGUUUUCGGAUCGUAAAGCUCUGUUGUAAGUCAAGAACGAGUGUGAGAGUGGAAAGUUCACACUGUGACGGUAGCUUACCAGAAAGGGACGGCUAACUACGUGCCAGCAGCCGCGGUAAUACGUAGGUCCCGAGCGUUGUCCGGAUUUAUUGGGCGUAAAGCGAGCGCAGGCGGUUUGAUAAGUCUGAAGUUAAAGGCUGUGGCUCAACCAUAGUUCGCUUUGGAAACUGUCAAACUUGAGUGCAGAAGGGGAGAGUGGAAUUCCAUGUGUAGCGGUGAAAUGCGUAGAUAUAUGGAGGAACACCGGUGGCGAAAGCGGCUCUCUGGUCUGUAACUGACGCUGAGGCUCGAAAGCGUGGGGAGCGAACAGG
rnacentral:rRNA from 1 species